GUAGCGCGAAACUAGGGUUCCGGCUUCUUUUUCGAAGUGUCUGGUCCGAGAGUUUCCGGCUUCGUCAUGACGAGGCUCCACGGAGGGAUAAAAGCCCGGGAGAU
rnacentral:sRNA from 2 species